AGCGAACGCUGGCGGCAGGCUUAACACAUGCAAGUCGAACGGGCACUUCGGUGCUAGUGGCAGACGGGUGAGUAACACGUGGGAACGUACCUUUCGGUUCGGAAUAAUUCAGGGAAACUUGGACUAAUACCGGAUACGCCCUUCGGGGGAAAGAUUUAUCGCCGAUAGAUCGGCCCGCGUCUGAUUAGCUAGUUGGUGAGGUAGAGGCUCACCAAGGCGACGAUCAGUAGCUGGUCUGAGAGGAUGAUCAGCCACAUUGGGACUGAGACACGGCCCAAACUCCUACGGGAGGCAGCAGUGGGGAAUAUUGGACAAUGGGCGCAAGCCUGAUCCAGCCAUGCCGCGUGAGUGAUGAAGGCCUUAGGGUUGUAAAGCUCUUUUGUCCGGGAAGAUAAUGACUGUACCGGAAGAAUAAGCCCCGGCUAACUUCGUGCCAGCCGCCGCGGUAA
rnacentral:rRNA from 1 species